CAACUAAUACAGCAUGUGGUUUUGAAAAGGCUGAACUGUGCUCUUCUUUGGAAAUACAAACUCCUUUCUUAGCUUGCCGGUCACGUGGAAACAGGCGGCGCCCUGGAUCUGGCGGGCAGGCCGCAGGGGGCUGACUGCCCCUCUCAGCUACACUAUUGUUCACCCUCUUCCCACAAGUCGCUUCUUAUCACCUCCGUUCCAGGACAAAAGAAAUUGAGGUUUCCACAACCUUAACUUCGUUCACACCCGUGAGUGGGCCCUAAGGAGGGCAGCCCAGAGGUUACUUGCCUGAGGAGGGAUGUGGGGCUCAGAGAGCGCCAGCAUCUUACUCGAGACCUCGCAGCGAGGUAAUGGCCAAGCGGGGACCCAGGAUCGAGACUGCUGGCUCACACACACACCGCCUCUGGAAGCAGCGGUCCCCUGGUGCUGUCGUCUCACUCCAGGCUCAGGAGCGGGCAGCUCUCAGUUCGGGACUGUACAGCACCCGUUCCCCUCCUAAAAGCACCCCAGUUCCAUUAAGGCGAAUUGCCUGUCCCCAACUGUCUUGGGGCAGAGGUCAUUCUUGGCUCCUUCCGCCCACUGCUGGCCUCCUCCCAUUAAAGUCAAAGGUAUCAGCUCCCUCCUCUCUUCACGUGGGUGAAUCAGUGGAGACACGUGACCCAAAAUGCUCUUUCCAGGGAUGUUGACUCUGUCAAGGACAAGGGAAUGGUUCCUGGUUGGUCAUUCUCUUUGUGACGAUAGGAGCUGUGUGGUCAUUGAUAGCACCCCCGCCUCUGUCCCUGUUAAAGGCAGUGACGGCUUUGCCUGCUUCCUGCUUCACGGACCUCAGAGUUCCCUUCAUUCCUGCUGACACGGGCCUGCUCUCACCAUCUCUCAUUAAUUAUGUAGGCUCCCACUGGGCUUCAGGAAAAACCCCCUUCGCUCUUAGUUUCUGGUGCUCGCACAGAGCCCUGUCUGACACAGCUCCAAAGAAUGGGGGCUCUCUCUCCCCCUCCUACUUCCAAGCCUCACCCCCAUUUCUUCCUCAGAAGAAUAGUUCGGGUUCCCCAGAACUAAUCCCCACAUUGCCUGGCAUAAAUCCAUAUAGAAAAAGCAAGCAAACAUAAAAUAUGCUCCCAAAAUCUUAGGGCCAGUGCAAGUGGUGAGGUUACUGGAGGAUUUCAUUUCCAUUUCAUUUCCUCUUGUUGCUCAUCUUUGUCCCCUGAAAAUUUCUUCCCACUGCAUUUAUGAUU